rnacentral:rRNA from 1 species
CGCGAGGUCUCUAUACAGGUGGUGCAUGGUUGUCGUCAGCUCGUGUCGUGAGAUGUUGGGUUAAGUCCCGCAACGAGCGAAACCCUCGUUCUAUGUUGCCAGCACGUAAUGGUGGGAACUCAUGGGAUACUGCCGGGGUCAACUCGGAGGAAGGUGGGGAUGACGUCAAAUCAUCAUGCCCCUUAUGUCUUGGGCUUCACGCAUGCUACAAUGGCCGGUACAAAGGGCUGCAAUACCGUAAGGUGGAGCGAAUCCCAAAAAGCCGGUCCCAGUUCGGAUUGAGGUCUGCAACUCGACCUCAUGAAGUCGGAGUCGCUAGUAAUCGCAGAUCAGCAACGCUGCGGUGAAUACGUUCCCGGGCCUUGUACACACCGA